GUCUGACUAAAUUUAUUUAUAAGGGAACCCCAUUUUAUGCUGUCUUGGCAAGACAAAGAAAAUCCAAGUUGUGCAUGGCAGUAAAGGGGAGCCUGGAAGCAUCUCUGGCAGUUCCUUUCUUUCCCAAUUCUGAAGUGGGAAAAAGUGAGAAAGAAGAGAAAGUGGAAGUAAUGAUGAAACAAAUGUGCAAAGACUGACCCUUACUGAUGUGCAUCAAUGAAAGGAGGACAAAGCAGGCUUCUACCUCCUCUUCUUUUUGUAUUUUCUUUCCUCUCUUCUCAGUUUUUCCUAUUUCUAUUUUUCUUUCUCUUCAUAAGCUUUCUUCUCAGUUUUUACACUCCCACAUUACAUUUCAUCUUGGUCUUUGUUUUUCUUCCAAUCCUGUAAUUUAUUUGGUACCCAGGGGAUAUAUCUCAGGAAAUCUGUUACCCUAUGUCUCUUUGCUGUCUAGUUAUUUGACAAUGUUUCCUUCUCUAAUAAAGUUUUCUCCUUCUUUAUGUUCCCUCUCAUAUGUUAUCCCUUCAUUAUAUUAAGAUACUCAAAGAAAGGAAAAUGCCUUGGCUGUCUUUUCCACCAACCAAGCUGGAUGUAAUUCCACUGUUUGCUGAGAAAAGAAUUGCGUGUGACUCACAGGGUUUAUCUUUGUCCGGACGCUCUGUUCAUCACGGGUUAUGUUGUUUGGCUG
rnacentral:lncRNA from 1 species